UUGUAGUCAAACUGUAACAUUAGCUCUGCCAGUUGAAAGGUUUUUCGUGUAACCUAAUGCAGAUACGGAGUCAUUGACCGUGUGUUUAUAUUACAUUUAAUCACUAAUCCACAACAUUACAGUAGUAUGAAGCUGGAGUCAUAGUAGUAUGGUCAACUACGUGCAUGUCCAUUAGUUGCGAAACUGGGGCAUUUCUUUCUUCUUCCACUAGAUGGCUGUGCAACAACAU